rnacentral:rRNA from 1 species
GCGUUAACGAACGAGACCUUUUCCUACUAAAUAGCCGGAUUAACGCAAGUUGGUCACGGCUUCUUAGAGGGACAAGCUACGCUUAGUGGCUGGAAGUUGGAGGCAAUAACAGGUCUGUGAUGCCCUUAGAUGUUCUGGGCCGCACGCGCGCUACACUGACAUAGGCAGCGAGUAUAUAACCUUGACCGAGAGGUCUGGGUAAUCUUGUGAAACUAUGUCGUGCUUGGGAUAGACCAUUGUAAUUAUUGGUCUUUAACGAGGAAUUCCUAGUAAGCGCGAGUCAUCAGCUCGCGUUGAUUACGUCCCUGCCCUUUGUACACACCGCCCGUCGCUAAUACCGAUUGAAUGGAU